rnacentral:rRNA from 1 species
AAAUAUUAUAAAAAUGGUGUGCAAUUNUUUCCAUAUAAGGACAUUGUAAUCUGUUAAUGUANNAUAAAUAUUUAUCAUAAGAUUCAAUAAUAAAAAGUUUAUUCAAAUUAGUUAUUUUCGGAUUUCUAACAUANAAUAAAUUUUAUUGAAUUUGAUAAAUCAUUGACAGAUUUAUUUAUAUAUAGUGCUUAAAUUCUUUAUUGAAUUUUACAAUAAUUUUUAAAUGUANUUUUCAUUUAUUAAUUNNNUAUUGUAUGCACUUAUAUGAUUAACAAUGCUAUANAUUCAGGAUACCUUCGGGACCCGUCUUGAAACACGGACCAAGGAGUCUAACAUAUGUGCAAGUCAUUGGGUAUUUUUAAUAAAACCCAAAGGCAUAAUUAACUUAACUGUNNNNNUUUUNNNNNNNNUAUGGGAUUAGUUUAUAUUUUAUUAUGAAAUAUGAAUUCAAUCCCGGGGCGUUCUAUAUAGUUAUGUAUAAUAAUAUUUAUAUUAUUUAUGCCUCUAACU